rnacentral:rRNA from 1 species
AUGGAUCUUAACUUCAGUAGUACAGCAAGAUCAGCAGCAUUAGCAGCAGCAGCAGCAGCAAUGCAGGACGCCGCGCACGACCCCAGCGCCGCCACCUUCUACUCCACCGCCGCCGGCCUCUACGCCAGCACCCACCCGCCCGUCCCGCUCCCCUCCGACCCCGGUCUCUCCCUCGUCCCGCAUAUCUUCUCCCGCCUCCCCCUCGGCCCGCCGCCGCAUUCCCCGCCGUGCCUCCUCGACGCCGCCACCGCCGCCUCCCUCUCGCGCGCCGACCUCCGCCGCCUCGUCUCCUCCCUCGCGCACGGCCUCCGCCGAGCCCACAACAUCCGCGCCGGCGCCGUCGUGCUCCUCGUCCUCCCCAACUCCGUCGCCUUCCCCGUCGCCUUCCUCGCCGUCCUCGCCGUCGGUGGCGUCGCCACCACCAUGAACCCCUCCAGCUCCCGCGCCGAGAUCGCCGACCGCCUCCGGGACACCGCCCCGUCCCUCGUGCUCACGUCGCCCGAGAACGCCGAGAAGCUCCCGCGCUCCGCCGCCCCGGUCGUCCUCGUGCCGGAGACAUUCCAUCGUACGCCCUCGGCGGGCCACGAGUUCGCGCCCUUCCGCGCGCUGCUCGAUUCCGACGCCGACGACUUCCCGUCGGCGGAGGUUGGCCAGGAGGACGCCGCCGCCGUCCUCUACUCCUCGGGGACCAGCGGACGGAGCAAGGGCGUCGUGCUCACGCAUCGCAACCUCAUAGCCAUGGUCGAGCUCUUCGUGCGCUUCGAGGCGUCGCAGUACGCGCGACCUGCUUGUGACAAUGUCUACCUGGCCGCGCUGCCCAUGUUCCACGUCUACGGCCUCUCCCUCUUCGCCGCGGGCCUCCUCUCGCUCGGCUCCACCGUGGUGAUCAUGAGGAGGUUCGACGUCGGCGAGGCCGUCAGGGCCAUCCACAGGUACAAGGUCACGCACUUGCCGCUAGUGCCGCCCAUCAUGGCGGCGCUGCUGAGGGCCAAGUCCACAGGCGCCUCGUCAUUGGACUCCUUGGUGCAGGUCUCCAGCGGUGCAGCUCCACUCAGCGGCAAACUCGUUCAAGACUUUAUCAAGGCUUUCCCACACGUCGAUUUCAUUCAGGGCUAUGGCAUGACAGAAUCUACUGCUGUGGGAACUCGUGGUUUCAAUACCUCGAAGCACAAGAAGUAUGCAUCUGUAGGUCUUUUAGCCCCAAACAUGCAUGCCAAAAUUGUUGAUCUGGAGACUGGCUUAUGUUUACCUCCUGGCUCUUGUGGGGAGUUAUGGCUCCAUGGGCCAGCUAUAAUGAAAGGUUACUUGAAUGAUGAGAUGUCAUGCACGAGAACGGAUGGCUGGUUGCAGACUGGUGACCUUGCUUACUUUGAUUCAGAUGGGUACUUGUACAUAGUGGGCCGUUUGAAAGACACUAUCAAGUACAAAGGAUUUCAGAUAGCUCCAGCUGACCUUGAAGCAGUUUUGGUCCAGCACCCUGAAAUUGUUGAUGUUGCUGUGACGUCUGCUGAAGAUGAAGAAGCUGGAGAGAUACCAGUAGCUUUCGUGGUGAGGAGAUCUGGAAGCCGUCUAACCCGUGUGCAAGUGAUGGAGUAUGUGGCCAAGCAGGUGUCCCCGUACAAGAAAGUUCGCAAGGUGAUAUUCGUGGAGGCAAUACCCAAGUCAGCUGCUGGCAAGGUUCUUAGAAGGCUUCUCAAGGACUCUCUGCGCCUUGAUGCUGCUGCUUCCCGUUCAGAUCACACCAAACCCAGUUCAAGACUGUAA